rnacentral:tRNA from 1 species
AUCUUUUUAGUAUAAAAUACAAAUGACUUCCAAUCAUUAAAUCUUAGUUAGAAUCUAGGAAAAGAUA